GAUGAACGCUGGCGGCGUGCCUAAUACAUGCAAGUCGAGCGAACGGACGAGAAGCUUGCUUCUCUGAUGUUAGCGGCGGACGGGUGAGUAACACGUGGAUAACCUACCUAUAAGACUGGGAUAACUUCGGGAAACCGGAGCUAAUAUCGGAUAAUAUUUUGAACCGCAUGGUUCAAAAGUGAAAGCCGGUCUUGCUGUCACUUAUAGAUGGAUCCGCGCUGCAUUAGCUAGUUGGUAAGGUAACGGCUUACCAAGGCAACGAUGCAUAGCCGACCUGAGAGGGUGAUCGGCCACACUGGAACUGAGACACGGUCCAGACUCCUACGGGAGGCAGCAGUAGGGAAUCUUCCGCAAUGGGCGAAAGCCUGACGGAGCAACGCCGCGUGAGUGAUGAAGGUCUUCGGAUCGUAAAACUCUGUUAUUAGGGAAGAACAUAUGUGUAAGUAACUGUGCACAUCUUGACGGUACCUAAUCAGAAAGCCACGGCUAACUACGUG
rnacentral:rRNA from 1 species